rnacentral:rRNA from 1 species
UAGGGAAUUUUCGUUCAAUGGGCGCAAGCCUGAACGAGCGAUGCCGCGUGAGUGAAGAAGGCCUUCGGUCGUAAAGCUCUGUUGCGGGGGAAAAAGGCAGCAUCAGGAAAUGGGUGCUGACUGAUGGUGCCCCGCCAGAAAGUCNCGGCUAACUACGUGCC